UACGAAGGGGGCUAGCGUUGCUCGGAAUCACUGGGCGGAAAGCGCACGUAGGCGGAUUGUUAAGUCAGGGGUGAAAUCCUGGAGCUCAACUCCGGAACUGCCUUUGAUACUGGCGAUCUUGAGUCCGGGAGAGGUGAGUGGAACUGCGAGUGUAGAGGUGAAAUUCGUAGAUAUUCGCAAGAACACCAGUGGCGAAGGCGGCUCACUGGCCCGUUACCGACGCUCAGGCGCGACAGCGUGGGGAGCAAACAGG
rnacentral:rRNA from 1 species